rnacentral:rRNA from 1 species
UACGAAGGGGGCUAGCGUUGUUCGGAAUUACUGGGCGUAAAGCGCACGUAGGCGGGUUGUUAAGUCAGGGGUGAAAUCCUGGAGCUCAACUCCAGAACUGCCUUUGAUACUGGCAACCUAGAGACUGGAAGAGGUUAGUGGAAUUCCCAGUGUAGAGGUGAAAUUCGUAGAUAUUGGGAAGAACACCAGUGGCGAAGGCGGCUAACUGGUCCAGCACUGACGAUCAGGUGCGAAAGCGUGGGGAGCAAACAGG